rnacentral:rRNA from 1 species
ACGAACGCUGGCGGCGUGCUUAACACCUGCAAGUCGCACGGAAAGGCCCUGCUUUUGUGGGGUGCUCGAGUGGCGAACGGGUGAGUAACACGUGAGUAACCUGCCCUUGACUUUGGGAUAACUUCAGGAAACUGGGGCUAAUACCGGCUAGGAGCUCCUGCUGUAUUGUUGGGGUUGGAAAGUUUCGGCGGUUGGGGAUGGACUCGCGGCUUAUCAGCUUGUUGGUGGGGUAGUGGCUUACCAAGGCUUUGACGGGUAGCCGGCCUGAGAGGGUGACCGGCCACAUUGGGACUGAGAUACGGCCCAGACUCCUACGGGAGGCAGCAGUGGGGAAUAUUGCACAAUGGGCGGAAGCCUGAUGCAGCAACGCCGCGUGCGGGAUGACGGCCUUCGGGUUGUAAACCGCUUUCGCCUGUGACGAAGCGUGAGUGACGGUAAUGGGUAAAGAAGCACCGGCUAACUACGUG